UCUGGCUCUUUCAGAGUCCGAGUUGUAAUUUGAAGAAGGUAUCUUUGGGUCUGGCUCUUGUCUAUGUUUCUUGGAACAGAACGUCACAGAGGGUGAGAAUCCCGUGCGAUGAGAUGAUCCAGGCCUAUGUAAAGUUCCUUCGAAGAGUCGAGUUGUUUGGGAAUGCAGCUCUAAGUGGGUGGUAAAUUCCAUCUAAAGCUAAAUAUUGGCGAGAGACCGAUAGCGAACAAGUACAGUGAUGGAAAGAUGAAAAGAACUUUGAAAAGAGAGUGAAAAAGUACGUGAAAUUGUUGAAAGGGAAGGGCUUGAGAUCAGACUUGGUAUUUUGUAUGUUACUUCUUCGGGGGUGGCCUCUACAGUUUAUCGGGCCAGCAUCAGUUUGGGCGGUAGGAGAAUUGCGUUGGAAUGUGGCACGGCUUCGGUUGUGUGUUAUAGCCUUCGUCGAUACUGCCAGCCUAGACUGAGGACUGCGGUUUAUACCUAGGAUGUUGGCAUAAUGAUCUUAAGUCGCCCGUCUUGAACCACGGGACCAAA
rnacentral:rRNA from 1 species